GACGAACGCUGGCGGCGUGCCUAACACAUGCAAGUCGAGCGGACACUCCGGGGUUUUGGGCGGACGGCGGGGGAAGGCGUGGGGAGAUGCACUUGUCUACGGAAUAGUUCUGGGAAAGUGAGGGUAAUGCCACAUAGGCUCUUAGGGGGAAAGAUUUAUUGGGGCAGGAUUAGCGCGCGUUGGAUUCGGUGGUUGGGGGGGUAAUGGCCUGACAAGCGGACGAUCCUUAGCUGGUUUGAGAGGAUGAUUAGCCACACUAGGACGCGGACACGGCCCAGACUCCUACGGGAGGGAGCAGUGGGUAAUCUUAGACAAUGGGGGCAACGCUGAUCUAGCCAUGCCGGGUGAGUGAUGAAGGCCGUAGGGUUGUAAUGUUCUUUCAGCUGUGAAGAUAAUGACGGUACCAGCAGAAGAAGCCCCGGCUAACUACGUG
rnacentral:rRNA from 1 species